GAUGAACGCUGGCGACGUGCCUAAUACAUGCAAGUCGAGCGAACGGACGAGAAGCUUGCUUCUCUGAUGUUAGCGGCGGACGGGUGAGUAACACGUGGAUAACCUACCUAUAAGACUGGGAUAACUUCGGGAAACCGGAGCUAAUACCGGAUAAUAUUUUGAACCGCAUGGUUCAAAAGUGAAAGACGGUCUUGCUGUCACUUAUAGAUGGAUCCGCGCUGCAUUAGCUAGUUGGUAAGGUAACGGCUUACCAAGGCAACGAUGCAUAGCCGACCUGAGAGGGUGAUCGGCCACACUGUAACUGAGACACGGUCCAGACUCCUACGGGAGGCAGCAGUAGGGAAUCUUCCGCAAUGGGCGAAAGCCUGACGGAGCAACGCCGCGUGAGUGAUGAAGGUCUUCGGAUCGUAAAACUCUGUUAUUAGGGAAGAACAUAUGUGUAAGUAACUGUGCACAUCUUGACGGUACCUAAUCAGAAAGCCACGGCUAACUACGUG
rnacentral:rRNA from 1 species